UACGGAGGGUGCAAGCGUUGUCCGGAAUCACUGGGCGUAAAGGGCGCGUAGGCGGCUCAUGAAGGCUGUGGUGAAAGUCCGGGGCUCAACCUCGGAUCGGCCGUGGCGACUCGUGGGCUGGAGCACUGUAGAGGCGGGUGGAAUUCCGGGUGUAGCGGUGGAAUGCGUAGAGAUCCGGAAGAACACCGGUGGCGAAGGCGGCCUGCUGGGCAGUAGCCGAAAGGCUUGAAAGCUGACGCUGAGGCGCGACAGCGUGGGGAGCAAACAGG
rnacentral:rRNA from 1 species